rnacentral:rRNA from 1 species
CAUAGGUUAACGAGGCGAACCGGGGGAACUGAAACAUCUAAGUACCCCGAGGAAAAGAAAUCAACCGAGAUUCCCCCAGUAGCGGCGAGCGAACGGGGAGCAGCCCGGAGUCUGAAUCAGCUUGUGUGUUAGUGGAACGGUCUGGAAAGUCCGACGGUACAGGGUGAUAGUCCCGUACACGAAAAUGCACAGGUUGUGAACUCGAAGAGUAGGGCGGGACACGUGGUAUCCUGUCUGAAUAUGGGGGGACCAUCCUCCAAGGCUAAAUACUCCUGACUGACCGAUAGUGAACCAGUACCGUGAGGGAAAGGCGAAAAGAACCCCGGCGAGGGGAGUGAAAAAGAACCUGAAACCGUGU